rnacentral:ncRNA from 1 species
CGACCUCAGAUCAGGCGGGACUACCCGCCGGAUUUAAGCAUAUUAAUAAGCGGAGGAAAAGAAAACAACCGUGAUUCCCUUAGUAGCGGCGAGCGAACCGGGAAAAGCCCAUCGCCGAAUCUCGCCGCGCACUUUUGUGUCGCGGCACGUAUGAGAGUUGUGGCGUACGGGCCGGCCUCGUUGCCGGGGCGCACGUGACGGUCCAAGUCUCCCUUGAACGGGGCCAUGGCCCGCAGAUGGUGCCAGGCCAGUAGAGGCCGUCACAGCGUUCCGGGAUCGGACCGCGCCUUCGAGUCGGGUUGCUUGAGAGUGCAGCCCGAAGCGGGUGGUAAACUCCAUCUAAUGCUAAAGGUACUCGUGAGGGAAAGUUGAAAAGAACUUUGAAGAGAGAGUUCAUAAGAACGUGAAACCGCUCGGUGUAAACGGACAGAGCUCGCGAAUC